rnacentral:rRNA from 1 species
AUUGAACGCUGGCGGCAUGCCUUACACAUGCAAGUCGAACGGCAGCAUGAUCUAGCUUGCUAGAUUGAUGGCGAGUGGCGAACGGGUGAGUAAUACGUCGGAACGUGCCCUGUAGUGGGGGAUAACUAGUCGAAAGAUUAGCUAAUACCGCAUACGACCUGAGGGUGAAAGUGGGGGACCGCAAGGCCUCAUGCUAUAGGAGCGGCCGAUGUCUGAUUAGCUAGUUGGUGAGGUAAAGGCUCACCAAGGCGACGAUCAGUAGCUGGUCUGAGAGGACGAUCAGCCACACUGGGACUUGGACACGGCCCAGACUCCUACGGGAGGCAGCAGUGGGGAAUUUUGGACAAUGGGGGCAACCCUGAUCCAGCAAUGCCGCGUGUGUGAAGAAGGCCUUCGGGUUGUAAAGCACUUUUGUCCGGAAAGAAACCGCACUUACUAAUAUUAGGUGUGGAUGACGGUACCGGAAGAAUAAGGACCGGCUAACUACGUGCCAGCAGCCGCAGUAAUAC